GACGAACGCUGGCGGUGUGCUUCACACAUGCAAGUCGAACGGGGUAGCAAUACCUAGUGGCGGACGGGUGAGUAACACGUGGGAAUCUACCAUUAGAUGGGGAAUAACAGGCCGAAAGGACUGCUAAUGUCGCAUAUGUAUGUGCCUCGACAGGGGGCAUAUAUGAAAGGAGUAAUCCGGUCUGAUGAUGAGCCCGNGUCCGAUUAGCUAGUUGGUAGGGUAAAAGCCUACCAAGGCGACGAUCGGUAGGUGGUCUGAGAGGAUGAUCAACCCACAAUGGGACUGAGACACGGCCCAUACUCCUACGGGAGGCAGCAGUGGGGAAUUUUACGCAAUGGGGGAAACCCUGACGUAGCGACACCGCGUGAGCGAAGAAGCCCUUUGGGGUGUAAAGCUCUGUCAACAGGAACGAAAAAAUGACGGUACCUGUGGAGGAAGCAUCGGCUAACUACGUGCCAGCAGCCGCGG
rnacentral:rRNA from 1 species